CCCAGAUCCCACUGCUGCCAAAGAGAUGGGACAAGGAACCUCUCUCUAGCCUCAGGGGCUUCUUUCCUGCCACCGUGCAGCCCCACAAGCACUGCCUGAGGCCCAUCUGCUUCCCCGGCUAUGUACCCAACUCCGCGGUGCUACAGCAGAUGUGGCUAAAUGCGGAGGUCAGCAGCCUCGGAUCCCCGACUCAGCUCGCCUCCCAAAGAAAGUUCGAGGCAAGGGGCAGGGCUGGGGGUUUUGCCGGCAGGGGAGGGCUCUGCUGUCCUUGCAACCCAUCAGGCACCAUCUCUUGCCCCUCUGCAGCCAGGGGCAAGCCAGGAUGCCCUGUGGUUGUGGCGCCCCAGGCCAUCCCAAGCCCAGUGGCAGAGGAAGCUGCUCCAGUGCAUGGGGGAGAAGCCUGGGGAGGAGGGGGAGGAAGACGAGAAGGAAGAGGAGGAGGAGAAGGAAGACGAGGAGCUGGACCAGGCCUUGGCUUCCCUGAGCCCGCACUCCAACCAGCAGCUGGAUUCCUGGGAACUGGAGGAUCAGGUAGAGGCUCAGGCAGAGGC
rnacentral:lncRNA from 1 species